rnacentral:rRNA from 1 species
UACAGAGGUCCCAAGCGUCGUUCGGAUUCACUGGGCGUAAAGGGUGCGUAGGCGGUCGGGUAAGUCUGAUGUGAAAUCUCACAGCUUAACUGUGAAACUGCAUUGGAUACUAUCCGGCUCGAGGAAUGGAGGGGAGACUGGAAUACUUGGUGUAGCAGUGAAAUGCGUAGAUAUCAAGUGGAACACCAGUGGCGAAGGCGAGUCUCUGGACAUUUCCUGACGCUGAGGCACGAAAGCCAGGGGAGCAAACGGG